UUUUAAUAGUCACAUGUUCAGGGUUACAGGUGUGAUUGUUGUUCAGAUUCAGUGUUUUAAUAGUCACAUGUUCAGGGUUACAGGUGUGAUUGUUGUUCAGAUUCAGAGUGUUUAAUGGUCACAUGUUCAGGGUUACAGGUGUGAUUGUUGUUCAGAUUCAGAGUGUUUAAUGGUCACAUGUUCAGGGUUACAGGUGUGAUUGUUGUUCAGAUUCAGAGUGUCUAAUGGUCACAUGUUCAGGUGUGAUUGUUGUUCAGAUUCAGAGUGUCUAAUGGUCACAUGUUCAGGUGUGAUUGUUGUUCAGAUUCAGAGUGUCUAAUGGUCACAUGUUCAGGGUUACAGGUGUGAUUGUUGUUCAGAUUCAGAGUGUUUAAUGGUCACAUGUUCAGGGUUACAGGUGUGAUUGUUGUUCAGAUUCAGAGUGUCUAAUGGUCACAUGUUCAGGUGUGAUUGUUGUUCAGAUUCAGAGUGUCUAAUGGUCACAUGUUCAGGUGUGAUUGUUGUUCAGAUUCAGAGUGUCUAAUGGUCACAUGUUCAGGGUUACAGGUGUGAUUGUUGUUCAGAUUCAGAGUGUCUAAUAGUCACAUGUUCAGGUGUGAUUGUUGUUCAGAUUCAGAGUGUCUAAUGGUCACAUGUUCAGGGUUACAGGUGUGAUUGUUGUUCA